GUGCCAGCCGCCGCGGUAAUACGUAGGGGGCGAGCGUUGUCCGGAUUGACUGGGCGUAAAGCGCGCGCAGGCGGCCUGACGCGCCGGCCGUGAAAUCCCCCGGCUCAACCGGGGCGGGUCGGUCGGGACGGUCAGGCUGGAGGGUGUCAGAGGGGGGUGGAAUGCCGCGUGGAGCAGUGAAAUGCGUAGAGAUGCGGCGGAACACCGGCGGCGAAGGCGGCCCCCUGGGGCACAUCUGACGCUGAGGCGCGAAGGCCGGGGGAGCGAACGGGAUUAGAAACCCGUGUAGUCC
rnacentral:rRNA from 1 species